rnacentral:rRNA from 1 species
UACGUAGGGUGCAAGCGUUAAUCGGAAUUACUGGGCGUAAAGCGUGCGCAGGCGGUUGUGCAAGACAGAUGUGAAAUCCCCGGGCUCCAACCUGGGAAUUGCAUUUGUGACUGCACGGCUAGAGUGUGUCAGAGGGGGGUAGAAUUCCACGUGUAGCAGUGAAAUGCGUAGAGAUGUGGAGGAAUACCGAUGGCGAAGGCAGCCCCCUGGGCCAACACUGACGCUCAUGCACGAAAGCGUGGGGAGCAAACAGG